AUACCUGCCGGAAACAGGCCCACGUGCCCAUUAGAUGUUAAGCCCGUCAAAUUACAGAUCAUCAGCCCAGGGGUUCGUUUGGCAAAGCUUCAUCUGAAGGACGGCUAUUUCACAGGGGGAUCAGGAGAAAAAAACAGCAGAGUACCCCCCCCCCCCACCCCGAGCUCCCUCCUUAGGUCUGAGUUGGUGUGGAAAAUCUCCUAACUAAGAACAAAUGCAAGAGGGGAAGAGGACGACAUCAGGCUGGGGUCCCAAAUCCAGGAGACCCAGAGUGACAGCGUGGCAGAACCGGGCGGCCGGGGGCACAGCGGGUCACCAGCCACUGUGCGGUGAGUACCCGCGUCCCAGCACGCUCUUUAUCAGCCCGCUGCUAGAACACAUUCUUUACCGGGACGUCUGUGGCCUCUCUGACCCCAAUUAACCUCGGCAUCCACGGUGUGGCAGGCACACUCUGGGGCUCGCUGGGAGGGCCAGCAGCACAUGUGCGGCGCUGAGCACAGGCUUGGGGGGCACAGGGGCCUGGGCCCCGGCCCUCCCAUCACCAGCUGUGGUCACACAUUACCCACCCGCCAACUCUUUAUAAAGUGUUACCAGGUACCAACAGUCUGAACUGGGCCUUAGCUUCAUUAUAAAAUGGGAACAGUAAUACCUACUUUAUAGGACUGGUAAGAGACAAAAAAACAAAACAAAAAAACCCCCAAAAAAACCCCACGGGAAAGUAAAAAAUCUGACCAAAGAUGAUUAUUGAUUUUAAUAACAAAAAUAAGUACUAAAAAUAAACACGUCUGUGAAUUCUCAAUAAAGCUGUUACAUG